AAAAAAAGGAAGGAAUGAACCAAACCAACCACCUCGUUUGACGUUUCCCCCGGCGGCCGGCCCCCAACCCCUCGAGAAGCCCGACGCCGCCCGACGCCGCCGGCCAGAGCUGACGCGCGCACCCGCCCUCUCUCCUCUCAGAUCCCGUCUCCUCCUCCUCCUCCUCCGACGCCGCCGCCGACUCCGAGUCUCCGACUCGCUCGAGCCCCCAUUGGCGCGGGCGACCCUUUCCUGCGUGUCUCCUGCAAUAUUGGCAGGACCUGCUUUGAUAUGUGACUAGCAAAAUGUUUCCUCGGUGAUAUCUAGACAUGAUUUGGGUAUUGUUCAUAAUGCAGUUGGCUUCACAUGGUACUCAAUCAGAUGAAGCAACACAAUUGGUCUCCCAUUGUGAUCAAGCGGAAGUGUCAGAUUCACAGGAGAUGCUUUCACAACCCAACACAGCAGGGAGCUCCACCGAGUAUCUGGUCUCAUGUGAAAUCAAGCCCGUGAUUGUUGAGGAUGACAACGAAAAUAUCGAUGCCAACGAAGAAACACAUCUUGUCAUUCAAGACUUUCCACAAUGCCGGAUUUGCCUUGAUAAUGAAGGUGAUGACUUAAUCGCGCCAUGCCAUUGCAAGGGCACACAGAAGUAUGUCCAUAGGUCCUGUCUUGAUAACUGGAGAUCAACAAAGGAAGGUUUUGCAUUUUCACAUUGCACUGAGUGUCGCGCAGCAUUCUUACUUCGUGCAAAUGUUCCUCCAGAUCGGUGGUGGUUAAGACUGAAGUUCCAACUUCUGGUUGCUAGAGAUCACACAUUGAUCUUUUUUAUUGUGCAACUAGUUGUUGUUUUCUUGGGUAUGCUGGUAUACAGAUUAUAUGGAGAUGAACUGCGAGAAAUGUUUGGUUAUGAAGAGCAUCCAUAUGCUUUUUAUGCAUUGGCAAUACUGGCUAUUAUUUUGGUUGGUUUGCUGUAUGGAUUCUUCAUAGCUAUAAUAUGUGGACAGAGGAUCACUGAACGCCACUACCAUGUUCUUGCAAAGCAAGAGUUAACCAAGGAGUAUAUCGUAGAGGAUCUUGAAGGAGCUGAUCUAAUGCCAGACCUUGAUCCUACCCAUGUUACAGAGCUGAGGACACUGGGACUAUUGAGCAUGACUGCAUCUAGCAUCAGUUAGUUGAAACUUGAAUGCCACAGAUAGUUCUUUCAUUGUAAAAGGAUGUACAGAAGAAGCUAAUUUUGGGGCGACUGAAAAAGGUUGGAUUUACCUUGGAUUUUGGUAACAAUGUACAGAGCAUCAUGUUGAGAAUCAUCCUCUUGCAAGGGAAUAGCUUGGAUCUGUUGGUUCCAAGACAAAUGGGCGGUAGCAGAGAAUAUUAGAGGUAAAAUACUAUCUAUUUCCAACUUGAUCUACAAAUGAGAAAGCAAAAGUAUUUGCAUCAAUACAACAAUUGUAUGAAUUCCCCAAACAUUUUAGUGUCAUAGUUUUCAUGAUAAAAAAGAGAGCACAUAAAGAGUAGCUUUGACCCACCUCUCAAAGCCGUGUCCUUCAGCUGUUGCAAGUCUUCUCAUCGAGUUCUUGAGGCCUUGAAGAUCAAGCAGAAAAGCAAUCCAGCGUAGAACAACCAAUCAGCAGGUCAGCUAGCUACCCCAAGCCAGCAGUUCAGACUCUCAUACAACUCUUUGCCUUGUCAUUUUGUUUCAGCGCUUUGCCGCAAUCGUAGGCUGCAGAGCAGUCAUCCUGUAGAUACAGGGUCGUAUUGUUUUCUGAACCUCCUAUAGUCCUAUUGUUCUCUCUUAAUUGAUUGGGCUGCAGAGCAGGCCAUCCUGUAGAUACCGUGUUGUUUUCUGAACCUCCUAUAGUCAGUCCUAGGAUCCUCUCUUAAUUGAUUAGGCUGCACUCCUGCAACUGUUCUUAACAAAAGGAGCAACUAAUCAGUUGAUAUGAGGAUUAUUACCUUUCUGACUGCGAAGUCAUGAUGAGUAACGUGUUUCAACAUUGAAAUUUUUAUCUUGUUUUUAGCUGUCUUACCUGAAUCAGACUUUCUAUUCUCAUUGCCUACUACUUUAGAAGCCAAGAAUAUAUGCUCCUCCUUUUGUAUUCUUACAGACUUAGACUUCUUGCAUAUAUCUUUCUAAAAGUAACAGAAUAUAUGGGGAGAUAUUAUUGUUUUUCCUGUAUCCAUGUCCACUAACAGAGCAUCUUCCUAUUGGCAGCCAACUUCUUGCCAAUUUGUUUUGCAUUAAUUGAUAAAUUAUUUUCCCUUUCUCUCCAUCUUUGUUUCCAUAGGUUUCCCUAAUGACAUCCUCCACUUUUUCCUCUAUCCCCUGGUAUUUUUUGUUUUCCCUAUCAAUUUUCCUCCAAAUUAAUAUGCUAUCUGUAUUUGCAUGAGACAACAUGAAAUUGGAUUUUCAAUUGUAUGCAGUAAACAAAUCAUGCUUCCUUCCUAAAAUGGAUCAAGGAAGAUUGUUCGUUGUCCUAGGUUAGCAACCGAGACACUGGACUACCAGAGGGAAAGUAACACGGGAGUUUAUACUGGUUUGGUGCAACGAAUGCACCAUAGACCUGUCGUUGUACCCAGCUGCAGGGUUGGAGGGGGUACCUCUUGGUCCUUUGUCCUUGAGGGCACAUCUGUUCAUGUGUUUAUGUAUUGAUCGAGAGAAUUCAAGGUACAACUGAAAAGUGCGAGUUACAUGCAAUAGCUCAUGGCCCUAUACACAUGACUAGGAUACCCCUUGGUAUGGUGACCAAAGCAAGGGCAGUCCUCUUAGGAGAUAGUGGGUCUAUGCGGCUAUGCCUCUUGGGUCUACCAGCAGAGGUUGUCCCCGGGUGUCCCAUGAACCUGCCAAGUCAGGAUCCCCAGGCGCACGGACCUCUCCCCGGACCAUAAGGAGGUUCCCAGGGGAUAUCUUUCCUCUGAGAUCACUAAGGGACUUUCCUGGAGGGGUCUCCCCUAUUACCCCUCCGUGGGUGAUGUCAGGGCCCUAUUAGAAGCAUAAGUAGAUGACCUGCUGUAGAGAAGCACAUGUUGAUGGCAUUUCAUGCUCUGCAUCACUUAUUUGCUUUGUGGACUUCAUAGAUGUAAGACUUCUUCAGAACAGUACAUUUUCAUGCACGGCCAUGGUAAAGCUAUCAUUCCUGAUAUGUGAAGAAGAAGAUUUGACAAUGUAAAAAUGUUUUUUGGUGCAUCCUCUCCAGGCUACUGCUACUUGCUUGCUUCUGUUUUAGGAAAGUUUUAAGUACAUGAACAAAGGUCCCCCACUCUUCAUCUAACAAGACAAUCUCAACACGCCAAGAGUGCCAAUCAAUGUUUCAUAACUGUUUGUAGAACUCUUAACCAUUAAUGGAAGCCAUCCUGACAGUGACCUAUAUCUGACAUCAGGACGUGUAAUAUAUGAUGGCCAUGCAUGAUACCAAUGGUAGACAUUAUGUACAGAUUUUCUUUAGUCACCUAAUUUAUUUUGUGAAGGAAACAAUCAAAGAAUACCUUGCACUACUUGUAUACAUAGUCUGAUUGCAACCACUCAGACGAUGACCUAUGAGUACUCUUCAUGACAGUAGUCCAUAUGGCAAUAUGACAUCAUACUCAGGACCCUACACAUUCUUCACCUUUUCUGCUCUGUUCCAAGUUAGUAACCUGAGUUAUCAGUUAUCAGCAGUAAGCCGGUAACAUUAUCUUUCAAGUGGGAACACAUCAUCAAAUUGGGGAUUCAAGAGCAAGAAUAAAAGAAGACAUCUAAGAGAUAAGCAACAAUGAUGGAAUGGGGAAAGCAUUCUACUCGGAUAGAAAUUUGGAAGGCUGAUGUUGCAAGAAUAUCAUCACACCCUCGUCAGGAGGCACGGAAGUUGGGCCUUUUAGUGCCACAUAUGUAUAUAUGUUGAAAAGCAAAACAUGCCGUUCCUUUGAAGCUACCAAAUAGAAUUCAUGUUUCUUUUUUGUUCCAUCUAGGAUAGUUUACUCUCUCAAAACAAAAGGAGAAUAAGGUGAGUUGCCUCACAUUCUUAACCAAUGAGGAAGGUUGCAAUAGAAAUGCUAGGAUGCUACGUUGAAUGUACUUUUUAUUAAAUACUCCGUACACUAUAUUUGUUUUUUCUUCUGGUUCGUAAUAAAUGUAACACUUUAAAGA